GCCCAUCACUUCUUGUUCAACUAAACAAAGUUGCACAAUAACAACUCAAUUCAUCUUCUUAGCUCAGAUCUCGAUUACAUUUGUAAGUUUCAUAAAUUGAAGUCACAAUGAAGCUGGGAGUUUUCAUCAUUGCUGGCCUGAUUUUUAUCAACUUGUGCACCUGCAUGCCAAGGGACCUGGCGGCGGAUGCAUCUCACGGUACCACUGUGCCAGAGAGUGAAAUUCGCAAAUUGAUUGCUGGAACUGACGGAAGAAACGGUCCUCCCAGCAAUGAUCACCAGUGCCCGCUUGGGACAUACCCUAAUUGUCAAGGCAUGUCUCAGAACACUGAGGAAGCAGCUCCAGAUGUUCGUGGAAAUUGAGCCCAUCUCUGCUGAUCACGGAGCAUGAAGAUUCAUGAGAGAUAUAUAAGUUCAUGGCUGAUGUACUUUUAUCAUGCUACUCUGUUGUACGCGGAAGGCUGUUUAGCCAUGUUAACAGGACUAGCUUUUUUAUGCUUAUUUUCCAGUAUUAUUUCAAUGUUUGUACUUAUAUGGAAACAUAUGAAUCAUUAUAUUUCCUCAAGCUGAAUAAUUUU